rnacentral:rRNA from 1 species
CGCGUGGGAAUCUACCCAGUAGUGGGGGACAACAGUUGGAAACGACUGCUAAUACCGCAUACGCCCUACGGGGGAAAGGGGGAGUCUUCGGACCUCCUGCUAUUGGAUGAGCCCGCCGUAAGAUUAGCUAGUUGGUGGGGUAAAGGCCUACCAAGGCGACGAUCUUUAGCUGGUCUGAGAGGAUGAUCAGCCACACUGGAACUGAGACACGGUCCAGACUCCUACGGGAGGCAGCAGUGGGGAAUAUUGCACAAUGGGCGAAAGCCUGAUGCAGCCAUGCCGCGUGUGUGAAGAAGGCUC